rnacentral:rRNA from 1 species
UACGUAGGUGACCAGCGUUGUCCGGAUUUACUGGGCGUAAAGAGCGCGCAGGCGGUCGUUCAAGUCGAGUGUGAAAGCCCCCGGCUCAACUGGGGAGGGUCACUCGAUACUGAUCGACUCGAAGGCAGGAGAGGGAAGUGGAAUUCCCGGUGUAGUGGUGAAAUGCGUAGAUAUCGGGAGGAACACCAGUGGCGAAGGCGACUUCCUGGCCUGUUCUUGACGCUGAGGCGCGAAAGCUAGGGUAGCAAACGGG